rnacentral:rRNA from 1 species
GACGAACGCUGGCGGCGUGCUUAACACAUGCAAGUCGUACGGUAAGGCCCUUUCGGGGGUACGCGAGUGGCGAACGGGUGAGUAACACGUGAGUAACCUGCCCACAACUUUGGGAUAACGCUAGGAAACUGGUGCUAAUACUGGAUAUGUGCUCCUGCUGCAUGGUGGGGGUUGGAAAGCUCCGGCGGUUGUGGAUGGACUCGCGGCCUAUCAGCUUGUUGGUGGGGUAGUGGCCUACCAAGGCGGCGACGGGUAGCCGGCCUGAGAGGGUGACCGGCCACAUUGGGACUGAGAUACGGCCCAGACUCCUACGGGAGGCAGCAGUGGGGAAUAUUGCACAAUGGGCGCAAGCCUGAUGCAGCAACGCCGCGUGCGGGAUGACGGCCUUCGGGUUGUAAACCGCUUUCAGCAGGGACGAAGCUUUUUGUGACGGUACCUGCAGAAGAAGCACCGGCUAACUACGUG